UGGUGGUGUUGGUGGUGGAGGGCGGUGGCCUUGUCCUUGAGCAUAAUCUUUCCUCGUUAUCGGACGACGUCGAGGCUGCUGCGGUCGCGUCGGACUCUACCAGUAACGAUUAGCAAGACUACCGGCUCGUGCGUCAGCCAUACUUUUACAUUCUCGAAUAACAAUGCCGGCGAUGCCUUCUGAAUUUGCGUCGUCGAAUUUUAUUCCUACCAGUAAUUCUAUCUCUCUCUUUCUUUCUUCUUUUCUUUCCAUAUAACUAUCUCUUUCUAUCUCAUCGCAGUUUUACGGACACCAAGCGUCGUCGACCAAGUUUGUCCUCCGCCCCUCUUUUCCUUCGCGAUUUCGAUCGCGAUCCUCUUUAUCUUUCUUUGUACACGUAUCCACCUAUGUAUCUGUUUACUUAGAUGUAAAAGAAAUAAAUACCGUGACGUAUGUCGCGUGCGCAUACAUUAUGUGGAUUUCUAAAACGUCCAUUCGUAUAAUACGCGGUUGUAUGUUAUAUAAAGGAUAGGUAACAAUAAUAUCUACAUAUAUAUGUACGUAUAUACAUUACGUAUCAACGAUAUAUAUUUAUUAGCAAAGAGAAAGAGAGAAAGAUAGCACUGUUCUUUACACCGUUUUAUAUCUUUAUCCAGGGAAAUCGAUAAUCGGGAAAUUUUAAGAAUUUUGUUUGCCAAGUGUCACCUUCGAAAUGUCACGGAGUCCAAUUCAUUUUAGACGUGUCCAACGAUACCGAUGUUUUCGAGUGUCAAAAUCGUGAAAAAUUAACUAAAAGGUUAUCAUGACCAAUAACUCAUUGGUACGUUAUCUUUCAAAAAAAAAAAAAAAAAAAUUAGAAAAAGAAAAGAAAAAAAAUAAAAUCGACUGUUUAUACGACAUUUCAUAGUACACAAUGUAAUUUCUUAUUUGUAAUUUUGAAGAUAAAAAAGUAAAAUGAAACAAAAAAAAAAUAACUAAAUGAAAAGAAGAAGAAGACGUAAAAAAAAAGACCGUUCGAAAUUCUUGUCAUUCUUACGUCUCGAUACGACCGAAAUGAAUUCGCGUGUGACAUUAAGAGUCGAUCGUUACGAAAUCCAAGAUCAUGCUUGUUCUCGCGAAACGAGUAGGUACGUACGUAUUUACGAAUGGCACGAAGAAUAAACGCGAAACGAACGUUUAUAUAUCCUGACGUUUUCGUAAUUCGUCACGUAGAUUUUUUCAACCAUUCGCUGUCCUGAUUUGAUCGUUCGCGCGAUUACGUCAACGAUCAGUAUCCGACAUUGAUCCAGGAUCCUUUCGAAAUCGUCACAUCGGAGGAAUCCUUCGAUCUUUCGCGAAAAUAACUAUGACUAUUUUCCGUCGAACUGUUAUAUUCAUUGUUCGCGUGAUUACAUCGAAUAGAUCCUACCGAGAAGGAAGAUCUUUAAGAUCGACGAGUCACGAAAAUGGCGGGAAAAGAUGAAAUUCGUCGAAGGAGUUAAAUAUCUACGAGUAGUAUAUUCGAGAUCAUAAAAUAGUAAUGGCGAGUGAGUUUCUCGAUGAACAAACGUCCACUUCGACGUUGGAAAAUUUAGAUAUCGGCCAAUUCUUGGGAUGAAGCAUUGGCACGAUUUCGAGGCAACACCGUUUGUAAAUUAUACGAGCCGUGCGGUUAUGUUAUAAACGACUAAUAACAAGAUGGCCGUCUCUACGUUUUGUCAUUCAUUCGGCCGCCAACGCAAAAAUAGCGUGGGAAUAACGAAUACUGGAUGGAUAACGCGCUCUGUUAUUGCAUCGUAGAAAUUGAUUGAAGUAACGUUAAGUACGAUCUCGAGUAAUAAAAAAAGAAGAAAUAACAAGAAAAAAGGAAGAGCAAAGAAAAAGAGAAACGAAAUGAAAAAAAGAAAAAAGAAAAGAAGAGAAGAGAAGAGAAGAGAAGAGAAAAGGAAAGAAAAAGAAAGAAGAGAAAAUAAAAAUACAUCUCUUUGAAAUACGUGAUUUACAAAUGAUCAUCAAUCGUCGAUACAGAUAUAAAUUAAAAAAUUAAUUCGACGAGCAUGACUAAUAACAAGCGAUAUAACUCGUUAUAACGAGAAUCGAUUACGUUCGAAAGCGUGCGCGAGCGCGCUGGUGGUUCGCUCACGCGCAAACGAAGCCGCGCGUGUCACCGGACGAUCAUGCGCGGUAUUCGCUCUUUAAUCUCGGCGUUAUGUUGCGCGUAAUUUACGUGCGUCGCUAUGUGGGUGUAAUUGGAAGCUCGUUGACCAUAGCGCUAUAAAUAGACACCUUUGUGAUUUCUUUAGAAGCGAUUUCCAUUGCCUUCCGAUUCUAAUUAUUGUUUGACCUUUCAAGAGAAUCGAUUUAUAAGAUAUAAAAAAGAUAGAAAAAAAAAAGUAAAAUCAAAAUUUGCGUAUUAAUAUUUAUGGUAUAGACGGAUAUUAAAAGUUUAAAAGAUGUAAAUAACAACGAUAAAUUUACGAUGUGUUGUUGAGAUUUUUAUUACCUUAAUUUUUAAUAUCGUCCGAUGGAACAGCAACAAUAAUAUUAUUUUAUCUGUGAGAGAAUUAUAACUAUUUAUUUAUUAUAUAUAUCGAGUCAAUAUUGUAUUAAAUUAUUUUCUUUUCGUUGUUACUAUAUAUAUACAUAUUUCACUUCAUUACUAAACUAGAAAUAAAAAUAAUACUAAACUAUAUAUUUGAACAGAAGUGCAAAAAUGUAGAAUAUACUAGAACUACUAAACUAGAAAAAAAAAAUCGCCAGCUUAGACAUAACUCUAAUAUAAAUACGUACUAUAUCCCUCGACUGGUUUUUGAAUCGAUCGCUAGUAUCGGAGGCGACUCGAUAAGUAAACUCAAUAAAGUAAUACGCUUCGAGAAAUAUGUUCGACUUCCUUGUACUCUCGACUUCCUAGAAAGAUAAAGAAAAAUUGAUUCGAUCUAUCGAAUAGAUCGCUAAACGUUUCAAUCUCUUUUUUCGUGUAGUGAAUUUUCUUCUCGCAUUUAUGUGAAUCAUUCUGAAUAUGAUACAGUCGAUAAUCGUUAUCACGUGGUCCAAGGUUGGCCUCGGUGAUUCUCUCUCUCUCUCCCUCUCCCUCUGUCCCUAAAUUUAAGCGAGAAAAAUAGAGAGAGACUCCUUAUGAACUAAAACUGUCGCAAGGACGAGAGGAGGAACCGCGAGCCGACGCGUCAGCUUCCGAACGUUUUAAAAUCGUCUUCGACCUUGAGUAUCGAUUUCUGAUAGAAGUUAAAUAAAAAAAAAGAGAGAGAUAGACGAAGAAGAGGACGAAGAAGAAGAUAAGAAGAAGAAGAAAAAGAAAAAGAUGAAGGUUUCUCGGCACCGACACAUUUGUCUAUACAUAAUGAUGACAUAACGUUUAUAACGUUUAUAUACUUCAACGUUUAAAAAAAAAAAGUUUCGAAGGAAUUCGUCGAAGCUACUUCUGUCUCUACUCUUUUGUACGGAAGAAAAAUAAAUGAAAUGUCUCGAUCGCGCUGAACGAUAACGUGAUCCGAUUCCUUCCUUCCUUAUUCCUUAAACUUCUUUCACUUUAUAAAUCCGUUUGUGAAAAUACUUCGGGAUUCCCUUGAUCGAGGAUCGAAGUUCCGUCGGACUGAAAAAAACGAGACGAAGGAAACGUAAGUGUAAAAAUAUCGUCGGCGAGCAAAGCAAGGGAAAUAGAAUUCGUCAAAUGUGAGAAUUUCGUGUAAACAGCGAGAUAAGCGAAGGAAGAAAAAAACAAAGGGAAAGAAAAAGAGAGAGAGAAAAUUAAAAAAUAAAAAAACAAAGAAAAACAAUAACGACGAAUAAACAACAAGAGCAACGGAGAGAGAACAAAUAUAUAAAAAUCAAAAUUGUAUAAAAAGAGAAAGAGAGAAAAGGGAAAUAUUUUGAUCGUUCGAAAAAAGAGAAGACUAGAGCGUCGUUAUAUAUAUAUAUAUAUAUAUAUCUAUACCUAUACACGCAUAAGUACCAUGAUAAUAGGCACGAAAGAUCGAAUAUGAUCUGGAGGGGACGCGUACUUGAACACGUCGUUGUAGUUGUCGUUGUAUUGUGUUGUGUUGUGUUGUGUUGUCAUUGUAGUCGUAGUCGUAGUCGUAGUCGUAGUCGCGUCGCGCUGAAUCAUUCGUCGACGGCGAUAUCGCGGAUCAUGAUAACAAACGCACACGGCUAAGAUAACCUUCUACGAGUCCGCGAAGUAUUACUGUUACUGGUGGGGAUUACCAAAUGGAGAAGAGAAGGAGGUGAAACGAUCGUGCAAGGCUAUUCUCCUCGUGUUGGAAUCCGUUUAGAGGCCUCGCGUCGCGGUCAUCGUAAUCCAUCGGUAGAAAACGCGCGAGACCGAUCGAUCGUGUGUGCCAGUCGACGAGAGGACAAGGGCAGAGUCGAGAGAGACGGAGAUAUAGAUAUAUAUAUAUAUGUGUGUGUGUGUGUGUGCGCGCGUAUAGAGAUAUAUAUACACACACGUAUGCUUUUAUGUAAUCAUAUGAAUCACGUCACAGAUCCUAAGUAAAAAAAAGAGAGAGAGAGAGAGAAAAGAAAAAAAUAUAUAUAUAAAAAAUGAAAGAAAAAUAAAAAAUAAAAGAAAAAGAUAAAAGGUCAAAUGAAAGAGGUGCGCGUGCAUCUCUUUCAUAGACGAGCGUCGAUCGAGAGAAAGAUCAUUGUCGAUCAUUGCCGUGAUUAAAGCUUGCGAACGGGCACGUUCUUUUUUUUCUUUUUCUUUUCUUUCUUUUUUCUUUCUUUUUUUUUUUUUUAACUUUCUUUCCACGACACAUUGAGAGAUACGUACAUUUUCGAGAAUGUGAAGGAAAAAAGGAGGUUAUAAAAAAUUGAUAGAGAGGAAACGAUAAUGAUUAGGUAUUAAAACUUCUGUUAAAAUAAUCGUUCUUCUAUAAAAUCUUCGUAGUCUAUUGCAAAUUCAUUUCGAAUACGAUUCAUCGUCGCCAAAUUUUUCGUAUAAACUUAAUCGAACGUUACUACGAGGACAACACGUGUCGUCUUUAUCGUCAUUUCAAUCGUAAAUAAGAUCGUUUCCGAGUGGAAAUAAACGAACGGUCAUUAACAAAUUCUUCGAAUAGUUUCCAAUAAAAAAGAAAGGAAAAACAAAAAAAGAACCGGAAGUCGGUUCCGUAUCAUGAAAAUACCGACGAAAAAUUUCCGUAACGAAAUUACGUGAAAAAUAUCUUAUAACCGACGAUAACUUAUCGCUAGACGAACUGUUUCAAAUUGGUUUGCUAAAGGAUAAAAGAGAAGAAAGAACUUUUUCGUGGCAUGCCUCGUCUAUUGUCGGAGAGAGAAAGAAAAAGAACAAAAGAAAAAGAAGAAAAUAACGAGCAAUCGCAGCUGACGUUACGAUUAAUCGUACGAUAGGAUUUUAUAAUCUUGAAAUACAAAUUGAUUCGUCUUAUUUCGUAUUUAUGUCUCUUAAAAAAAACGACGCAAGACGACGACGACAAUGACGACGCGAAUGAUAAGAAAGAAUCGUCGAUCCAAAUACACGCGCGAACGUUUGUUCGAAGAUGUCGCGAAGUCUUUGAACCGUACAAAUUUCAAGGUCACGCGUAGUCGUGGACAUAAAACACGUGCGUCUGGGGGAAGGUCGGGAGGGCCGCGGCCGUAGCUGCGGCCGCGGUUACGAUCGCCGCAAAUCGUACGAUCGUUCGUUAUUUCUCAUCGUUGGUCCUUGAGAUUGAGUGAGAAACGAGAUGAAAGAGAAAUAGAGAGAGGGAGAGGGAAAGAAAGAAAGAAAGAAAAAAAGAAAGAAAGAGAGAGAGAGAGAGGGAGGGAGAGAUAGAGAUAGAGAUAGAUAGAAAAGUUGAAGAGACGCCCGAGUAACAGGCAUACAGGCAAGUAGCCAAUCCAGGAAGAGACACGAAGAAGACAGGAAAUCAGAAAAAAGAAAGGAAGAAAAGGAAAGCAACGAGCGCACGUGUUGGCCUACGACACGCGUUAAGAUUCGAGUAAUGACCUGAGAAAAACAACAAAAAUAUGAAAGAGAGAAAGAGAGAGAGAGGGGGGGGGGGAUAAGCUGAAAAUUUAUGAUACAGAAUGAGAAAGAUAGUAAGGCAAAAAAAGAAGUUACUCGCAUAACAAGAUAAAAUCAAUCAUUCCGAUGUAAUGAGUACAUUUUUAAUAAUCAAUUAAAACGUUUCAUUCAUCGCGACUUUAUACGUAUCGAUAUACGCGUAUGUAAACUAUUCGAAAUAAAUAUUAUUGAUGAUAUUAUUAACGUAAUACAACAGUCGCUCGAGCGACUUCUCUCUAACGAUACGGAUCUAUUCACGAAGGUCUCGAAUUAAGAAAUAAGAAAGACGAAAAAGCGACGUCUUUUCGUCGCGAUCAAGGAUCGUGAUCUAGUCAAGGACAGUCACCACGCGUGGAGUGGGAUUUGAUUCGAUCGCCGACCAUGAAGAAUGUUGUAAUGUCGCAGUCGUCGUCACAAUGUCGUAAUAAGGAGGGAGCGUGUGAACGACGGCCACCUGUGACCAAAUGGCCUUGUCCUUGCACGGAUCAUCGUUGUCAAGAACUACCGUGCGCGCGCGCGCGCGCGCACACACGCGAGAUAUCAACGCCGAGGAACAAAGUGGCAACGAAUGCAUCGACGAAUGUCAUGCCGUCGCAAGAAAAAAUUUUCAAUCGACUUGUUACGCGUUGAAACGACUGCCGUCGUCACUUUACGAAAAAAAUAAGAAAGAAAAACAAAAAAAAAAAAAACAAAAUGGAAAAACACGUAAAAUAAACGGAACUUUACGUAAAAAAG